AUGCGCGAUGCCUUCACACUAUUAACCCACCUGCACAUGUGCGUGAGGAUGCGUGAUGCCUUCACUACACUGUUAACCCACCUGCACAUGUGCGUGAGGAUGCGCGAUGCCUUCACUACACUAUCAACCCACCUGCACAUGUGCGUGAGGAUGCGCGAUGCCUUCACUACACUAUUAACCCACCUGCACAUGUGCGUGAGGAUGCGCGAUGCAUUCACUACACUAUUAACCCACCUGCACAUGUGCGUGAGGAUGCGCGAUGCCUUCACUACACUAUCAACCCACCUGCACAUGUGCGUGAGGAUGCGCGAUGCAUUCACUACACUAUUAAUCCACCUGCACAUGUGCGUGAGGAUGCGCGAUGCCUUCACUACACUAUUAACCCACCUGCACAUGUGCGUGAGGAUGCGCGAUGCAUUCACUACACUAUUAACCCACCUGCACAUGUGCGUGAGGAUGCGCGAUGCCUUCACUACACUAUUAACCCACCUGCACAUGUGCGUGAGGAUGCGCGAUGCAUUCACUACACUAUUAAUCCACCUGCACAUGUGCGUGAGGAUGCGCGAUGCCUUCACUACACUAUCAACCCACCUGCACAUGUGCGUGAGGAUGCGCGAUGCCUUCACACUAUUAACCCACCUGCACAUGUGCGUGAGGAUGCGUGAUGCCUUCACUACACUAUCAACCCACCUGCACAUGUGCGUGAGGAUGCGCGAUGCCUUCACUACACUAUUAAUCCACCUGCACAUGUGCGUGAGGAUGCGCAAUGCAUUCACUACACUAUCAACCCACCUGCACAUGUACGUGAGGAUGCGCGAUGCCUUCACUACACUAUCAACCCACCGGCACAUGUGCGUGAGGAUGCGCGAUGCAUUCACUACACUAUCAACCCACCUGCACAUGUGCGUGAGGAUGCGCGAUGCCUUCACACUAUUAACCCACCUGCACAUGUGCGUGAGGAUGCGUGAUGCCUUCACUACACUGUUAACCCACCUGCACAUGUGCGUGAGGAUGCGCGAUGCCUUCACUACACUAUCAACCCACCUGCACAUGUGCGUGAGGAUGCGCGAUGCCUUCACUACACUAUCAACCCACCUGCACAUGUGCGUGAGGAUGCGCGAUGCCUUCACUACACUAUUAACCCACCUGCACAUGUGCGUGAGGAUGCGCGAUGCCUUCACUACACUAUCAACCCACCUGCACAUGUGCGUGAGGAUGCGCGAUGCCUUCACUACACUAUCAACCCACCUGCACAUGUACGUGAGGAUGCGCGAUGCAUUCACUACACUAUUAACCCACCUGCACAUGUGCGUGAGGAUGCGCGAUGCCUUCACUACACUAUCAACCCACCUGCACAUGUGCGUGAGGAUGCGCGAUGCCUUCACUACACUAUUAACCCACCUGCACAUGUGCGUGAGGAUGCGCGAUGCAUUCACUACACUAUUAACCCACCUGCACAUGUGCGUGAGGAUGCGCGAUGCAUUCACUACACUAUUAAUCCACCUGCACAUGUGCGUGAGGAUGCGCGAUGCCUUCACUACACUAUCAACCCACCUGCACAUGUACGUGAGGAUGCGCGAUGCCUUCACUACACUAUCAACCCACCUGCACAUGUACGUGAGGAUGCGCGAUGCCUUCACACUAUUAACCCACCUGCACAUGUGCGUGAGGAUGCGCGAUGCCUUCACUACACUAUCAACCCACCUGCACAUGUGCGUGAGGAUGCGCGAUGUCUUCACUACACUAUCAACCCACCUGCACAUGUACGUGAGGAUGCGCGAUGCCUUCACACUAUUAACCCACCUGCACAUGUGCGUGAGGAUGCGUGAUGCCUUCACUACACUGUUAACCCACCUGCACAUGUGCGUGAGGAUGCGCGAUGCCUUCACUACACUAUCAACCCACCUGCACAUGUGCGUGAGGAUGCGCGAUGCCUUCACUACACUAUUAACCCACCUGCACAUGUGCGUGAGGAUGCGCGAUGCAUUCACUACACUAUUAACCCACCUGCACAUGUGCGUGAGGAUGCGCGAUGCAUUCACUACACUAUUAACCCACCUGCACAUGUGCGUGAGGAUGCGCGAUGCCUUCACUACACUAUUAACCCACCUGCACAUGUGCGUGAGGAUGCGCGAUGCAUUCACUACACUAUUAAUCCACCUGCACAUGUGCGUGAGGAUGCGCGAUGCCUUCACUACACUAUCAACCCACCUGCACAUGUACGUGAGGAUGCGCGAUGCCUUCACACUAUUAACCCACCUGCACAUGUGCGUGAGGAUGCGCGAUGCCUUCACUACACUAUUAACCCACCUGCACAUGUGCGUGAGGAUGCGCGAUGCCUUCACACUAUUAACCCACCUGCACAUGUGCGAGAGGAUGCGCGAUGCCUUCACACUAUUAACCCACCUGCACAUGUGCGUGAGGAUGCGCGAUGCCUUCACUACACUAUCAACCCACCUGCACAUGUGCGUGAGGAUGCGCGAUGUCUUCACUACACUAUCAACCCACCUGCACAUGUACGUGAGGAUGCGCGAUGCCUUCACACUAUUAACCCACCUGCACAUGUGCGUGAGGAUGCGUGAUGCCUUCACUACACUGUCAACCCACCUGCACAUGUGCGUGAGGAUGCGCGAUGCCUUCACUACACUAUCAACCCACCUGCACAUGUGCGUGAGGAUGCGCGAUGCCUUCACUACACUAUUAACCCACCUGCACAUGUGCGUGAGGAUGCGCGAUGCAUUCACUACACUAUUAACCCACCUGCACAUGUGCGUGAGGAUGCGCGAUGCAUUCACUACACUAUUAACCCACCUGCACAUGUGCGUGAGGAUGCGCGAUGCCUUCACUACACUAUUAACCCACCUGCACAUGUGCGUGAGGAUGCGCGAUGCAUUCACUACACUAUUAACCCACCUGCACAUGUGCGUGAGGAUGCGCGAUGCCUUCACUACACUAUCAACCCACCUGCACAUGUACGUGAGGAUGCGCGAUGCCUUCACACUAUUAACCCACCUGCACAUGUGCGUGAGGAUGCGCGAUGCCUUCACUACACUAUUAACCCACCUGCACAUGUGCGUGAGGAUGCGCGAUGCCUUCACACUAUUAACCCACCUGCACAUGUGCGAGAGGAUGCGCGAUGCCUUCACACUAUUAACCCACCUGCACAUGUGCGUGAGGAUGCGUGAUGCCUUCACUACACUGUUAACCCACCUGCACAUGUGCGUGAGGAUGCGCGAUGCCUUCACUACACUAUCAACCCACCUGCACAUGUGCGUGAGGAUGCGCGAUGCCUUCACUACACUAUCAACCCACCUGCACAUGUGCGUGAGGAUGCGCGAUGCCUUCACUACACUAUUAACCCACCUGCACAUGUGCGUGAGGAUGCGCGAUGCCUUCACUACACUAUCAACCCACCUGCACAUGUGCGUGAGGAUGCGCGAUGCCUUCACUACACUAUCAACCCACCUGCACAUGUACGUGAGGAUGCGCGAUGCAUUCACUACACUAUUAACCCACCUGCACAUGUGCGUGAGGAUGCGCGAUGCCUUCACUACACUAUCAACCCACCUGCACAUGUGCGUGAGGAUGCGCGAUGCAUUCACUACACUAUUAAUCCACCUGCACAUGUGCGUGAGGAUGCGCGAUGCCUUCACUACACUAUCAACCCACCUGCACAUGUACGUGAGGAUGCGCGAUGCCUUCACACUAUUAACCCACCUGCACAUGUGCGUGAGGAUGCGCGAUGCCUUCACUACACUAUUAACCCACCUGCACAUGUGCGUGAGGAUGCGCGAUGCCUUCACUACACUAUCAACCCACCUGCACAUGUACGUGAGGAUGCGCGAUGCCUUCACACUAUUAACCCACCUGCACAUGUGCGUGAGGAUGCGCGAUGCAUUCACUACACUAUUAACCCACCUGCACAUGUGCGUGAGGAUGCGCGAUGCCUUCACUACACUAUCAACCCACCUGCACAUGUGCGUGAGGAUGCGCGAUGCCUUCACUACACUAUUAACCCACCUGCACAUGUGCGUGAGGAUGCGCGAUGCCUUCACUACACUAUCAACCCACCUGCACAUGUGCGUGAGGAUGCGCGAUGUCUUCACUACACUAUCAACCCACCUGCACAUGUACGUGAGGAUGCGCGAUGCCUUCACACUAUUAACCCACCUGCACGUGUGCGUGAGGAUGCGUGAUGCCUUCACUACACUGUUAACCCACCUGCACAUGUGCGUGAGGAUGCGCGAUGCCUUCACUACACUAUCAACCCACCUGCACAUGUGCGUGAGGAUGCGCGAUGCCUUCACUACACUAUUAACCCACCUGCACAUGUGCGUGAGGAUGCGCGAUGCAUUCACUACACUAUUAACCCACCUGCACAUGUGCGUGAGGAUGCGCGAUGCCUUCACUACACUAUUAAUCCACCUGCACAUGUGCGUGAGGAUGCGCGAUGCCUUCACUACACUAUCAACCCACCUGCACAUGUACGUGAGGAUGCGCGAUGCCUUCACACUAUUAACCCACCUGCACAUGUGCGUGAGGAUGCGUGAUGCCUUCACUACACUGUUAACCCACCUGCACAUGUGCGUGAGGAUGCGCGAUGCCUUCACUACACUAUCAACCCACCUGCACAUGUGCGUGAGGAUGCGCGAUGCCUUCACUACACUAUCAACCCACCUGCACAUGUGCGUGAGGAUGCACGAUGCCUUCACACUAUUAACCCACCUGCACAUGUGCGUGAGGAUGCGUGAUGCCUUCACUACACUGUUAACCCACCUGCACAUGUGCGUGAGGAUGCGCGAUGCCUUCACUACACUGUUAAUCCACCUGCACAUGUGCGUGAGGAUGCGCGAUGCAUUCACUACACUAUCAACCCACCUGCACAUGUACGUGAGGAUGCGCGAUGUCUUCACUACACUAUCAACCCACCUGCACAUGUGCGUGAGGAUGCGCGAUGCCUUCACACUAUUAACCCACCUGCACAUGUGCGUGAGGAUGCGCGAUGCCUUCACUACACUGUUAACCCACCUGCACAUGUGCGUGAGGAUGCGCGAUGCCUUCACUACACUAUCAACCCACCUGCACAUGUGCGUGAGGAUGGGCGAUGCAUUCACUACACUAUCAACCCACCUGCACAUGUGCGUGAGGAUGCGCGAUGCCUUCACUACACUGUUAACCCACCUGCACAUGUGCGUGAGGAUGCGCGAUGCCUUCACUACACUAUCAACCCACCUGCACAUGUGCGUGAGGAUGGGCGAUGCAUUCACUACACUAUCAACCCACCUGCACAUGUGCGUGAGGAUGCGCGAUGCAUUCACUACACUAUUAACCCACCUGCACAUGUGCGUGAGGAUGCGCGAUGCCUUCACUACACUAUUAACCCACCUGCACAUGUGCGUGAGGAUGCGCGAUGCAUUCACUACACUGUCAACCCACCUGCACAUGUGCGUGAGGAUGCGCGAUGCCUUCACUACACUAUUAACCCACCUGCACAUGUGCGUGAGGAUGCGCGAUGCCUUCACUGCACUAUUAACCCACCUGCACAUGUGCGUGAGGAUGCGCGAUGCCUUCACACUAUUAACCCACCUGCACAUGUGCGUGAGGAUGCGUGAUGCCUUCACUACACUGUUAACCCACCUGCACAUGUGCGUGAGGAUGCGCGAUGCCUUCACUACACUGUUAACCCACCUGCACGUGUGCGUGAGGAUGCGCGAUGCCUUCACACUAUUAACCCACCUGCACAUGUGCGUGAGGAUGCGCGAUGCCUUCACACUAUUAACCCACCUGCACAUGUGCAUGAGGAUGCGCGAUGCCUUCACACUAUUAACCCACCUGCACAUGUGCGUGAGGAUGCGCGAUGCCUUCACACUAUUAACCCACCUGCACGUGUGCGUGAGGAUGCGCGAUGCAUUCACAACAGUUUAUUAA
ensembl:lncRNA